ACUAAUCAGACACCAAUAGUGAACUAGUACCGUGAGGGAAAGGUGAAAAGAACCCCGAGAGGGGAGUGAAAUAGAUUCUGAAACCAUUUACUUACAAGUAGUCAGAGCACGUUAAAGUGUGAUGGCGUACAUCUUGCAGUAUGGGCCGGCGAGUUAUGUUAAUAUGCAAGGUUAAGCAGAAAAAAGCGGAGCCGUAGGGAAACCGAGUCUGAAUAGGGCGACUUUAGUAUAUUGGCAUAUACCCGAAACCAGGUGAUCUAUCCAUGAGCAGGUUGAAGCUUAGGUAAAACUAAGUGGAGGACCGAACCGUAGUACGCUAAAAAGUGCCCGGAUGACUUGUGGAUAGCGGUGAAAUUCCAAUCGAACCUGGAGAUAGCUGGUUCUCUUCGAAAUAGCUUUAGGGCUAGCGUAUAGUAUUGUUUAAUGGGGGUAGAGCACUGAAUGUGGAAUGGCGGCAUCUAGCUGUACUGACUAUAAUCAAACUCCGAAUACCAUUAAAAUUAAGCUAUGCAGUCGGAACGUGGGUGAUAACGUCCACGCUCGCGAGGGAAACAACCCAGAUCGUCAGCUAAGGUCCCAAAAUUGUGUUAAGUGAGAAAGGUUGUGAGAUUUCAUAAACAACUAGGAAGUUGGCUUAGAAGCAGCCACCUUUUAAAGAGUGCGUAAUUGCUCACUAGUCAAGAGAUCUUGCGCCAAUAAUGUAACGGGACUCAAACACAAUACCGAAGCUACGGGCACAUUAUGUGCGUUAGGAGAGCGUUUUAAUUUCGUUGAAGUCAGACCGUGAGGACUGGUGGAGAGAUUAAAAGUGAGAAUGCCGGCAUGAGUAACGAUUCGAAGUGAGAAUCUUCGACGCCUAUUGGGAAAGGUUUCCUGGGCAAGGUUCGUCCACCCAGGGUUAGUCAGGGCCUAAGAUGAGGCAGAAAUGCAUAGUCGAUGGACAACAGGUUAAUAUUCCUGUACUUGGUAAAAGAAUGAUGGAGUGACGAAAAAGGAUAGUUCUACCACUUACUGGAUUGUGGGGUAAGCAACAAGAGAGUUAUAUAGGCAAAUCCGUAUAGCAUAAUCUUGAGUUGUGAUGCAUAGUGAAGACUUCGGUCGAGUAACGAAUUGAAUGAUUUCAUGUUUCCAAGAAAAGCUUCUAGUGUUAAUUUUUUAUCAACCUGUACCGAGAACGAACACACGUUCCCAAGAUGAGUAUUCUAAGGCGAGCGAGAAAACCAAUGUUAAGGAACUCUGCAAAAUAACCCCGUAAGUUCGCGAGAAGGGGCGCCUAUUUUUAAUAGGCCACAGAAAAUAGGGGGGGCAACUGUUUAUCAAAAACACAGCUCUCUGCUAAGUUGUAAAACGACGUAUAGAGGGUGAAGCCUGCCCAGUGCCCGAAGGUUAAACGGAGAUGUUAGCUUACGCAAAGCAUUAAAGUGAAGCCCGGGUGAACGGCGGCCGUAACAAUAACGGUCCUAAGGUAGCGAAAUUCCUUGUCAACUAAUUAUUGACCUGCACGAAAGGCGCAAUGAUCUCCCUACUGUCUCAACAUUGGACUCGGUGAAAUUAUGGUACCAGUGAAAACGCUGGUUACCCGCAUCAAGACGAAAAGACCCCGUGGAGCUUUACUAUAACUUCGUAUUGAAAAUUGGUUUAGCAUGUGUAGGAUAGGUGGGAGACUUUGAAGCUGGGACGCUAGUUCUAGUGGAGUCAACCUUGAAAUACCACCCUUGCUAAAUUGAUUUUCUAACCCGUUCCCCUUAUCUGGGAAGGAGACAGUGCGUGGUGGGUAGUUUGACUGGGGCGGUCGCCUCCUAAAGAGUAACGGAGGCGUUCAAAGCUACACUCAAUAUGGUCAGAAACCAUAUGCAGAGCACAAAGGUAAAAGUGUGGUUGACUGCAAGACUUACAAGUCGAGCAGGUGCGAAAGCAGGACUUAGUGAUCCGGCAGUUCAUUAUGGAAUGGCUGUCGCUCAACGGAUAAAAGCUACCCCGGGGAUAACAGGGUUAUCUUCCCCAAGAGAUCACAUCGACGGGAAGGUUUGGCACCUCGAUGUCGGCUCAUCGCAUCCUGGAGCUGGAGUCGGUUCCAAGGGUUUGGCUGUUCGCCAAUUAAAGCGGUACGUGAGCUGGGUUCAGAACGUCGUGAGACAGUUCGGUCCCUAUCUGAUGUGGGCG
rnacentral:rRNA from 1 species